AUGGGAACAGCACGGCCGCAAGUCCGACUCGCCGCCCGUGCGGCUUGGGAUUGCGGAAGUGC
rnacentral:ncRNA from 1 species